AGAUUGAACGCUGGCGGCAGGCCUAACACAUGCAAGUCGAGCGGCAGCACGGGUACUUGUACCUGGUGGCGAGCGGCGGACGGGUGAGUAAUGCCUAGGAGUCUGCCUGGUAGUGGGGGAUAACGGCUCGGAAACGGACGCUAAUACCGCAUACGUCCUACGGGAGAAAGCAGGGGGACCUUCGGGCCUUGCGCUAUCAGAUGAGCCUAGGUCGGAUUAGCUAGUUGGUGAGUAAUGGCUCACCAAGGCGACGAUACCGUAACUGGUCUGAGAGGAUGAUCAGUCACACUAGGAACUGACGACGACGGUCAGACCUCCGUACGGGAGCAGCGAGGUGGGAAUUAGUGAACAAGUGGGACGAAAGCCGUAGACUCCAGACCAGUCG
rnacentral:rRNA from 1 species